UCUUUACUGACUCUACCACAUUACAAGAACCAGGAGCCUUCCUGCUGGUCCUUUGGGGUACCUUGUGGGAUUUCCAUUUCCUAAAUAUGCUGCCACACUUCACCAUGAGUAGUUUUUUACAGAGAUUAUUUCAUGCUACUUGGGAUAAAUUCAGAACUGGAAUAAAACCUGACAAUUCAUAGGCUGGCAGUCCAUUCCAUAGAUGAGUUUCAGAGGACCAAGGUCCUCUUGGAGAAUGUGUGCAGAAUGGCUGGUUCAGUUCUAGAACUGUCAAUUCCCAAAUUCAUCUGCCUUUUUAAAUGAUAUGGUUGAGGUUCACAGACUUGAAAACUGAACUUCUGUAUUAAAUCUUCUUUUAUCCAUUUGUAAAUUCUGGAGAGGCCUACAUACUGUAUGGAGACAGUUCUGUUUUUACAAACCCUGCCUCACCACAGGAGAGAAGAGAGGGUGAAGAUGGCCUGCACCUGGUGUCCUACACUCUCAAAAUUGAAGUCAACUACCUCAAAAUGCAAGAAACUGUGAAAAUUACAACCUCACCUAAUAAUAAUAAUAGUAAUAAUUAUGGUACUUGUUAGGUGCUUACUAUAUGCCAGACACUGUAGAGAAG